GCGGCUCCGGCGAGACCCUCGAUGUCGUCGUCAUCCUGCCCGGGACCCCCGGUGAGAGCCUCUCUGAUCUCCCAUGUCUUACUGAAUUUGGUAUGCACAAUGUCUGAACUAUGAACUCUGAAGCUAGUAGAAAGAAACUACUGCUUCCACAUUUCUUUUCCUGAUCCAGAUAAUUCAGUGCGUCCGUUUGGCAACAUUCUGUGGCUGGUGGAAAUUGUAGAACCUAAAAACUCAAACCAAAUUCAGUCAUCGCAUUUCAUCUUUGCAGAUAAUAUACUAAGUUUUUUCUAGCCAAUGAGCAAAAUUCAGGCUGUACUGUAUCCUACAAUGGACAGUGCAUAAAAGCUUAGUUCAUUGCAUAUUUAUAUUGUUUUGGGUUUUGCCUUCUUGAUGCUAUAGUUAUACUGUCAUUGAUCAUUGGUCUGCCACUUAACUUCCGCAUUAUUUCUGCUGAUUCAGCCUAUGAUGCGCUGCGGCACCCGGAUGUCGACGCACACUAGAGAAAGAUCAGAGCUGGAGUUGUGACAAAAGUUCCGCAGCCUCGGAUACGAUGAAAGCAGAACUGGACGCCUACUUUUGCCUAUAGAUAGAUAGAAUAAGGAGCUGUUCGGCAAGCCUCCAACUCCGUCAAAUCUAAGAAUCUGUGGAGUAGCUCUUUCCUUACUCUGCAUUUUUUAACUACUGCUCCUCCAACUCCGGGAGCGGAGAUGCGGAGCGGAGGGCAUCCGAACAGGCCUUAAAUAUAGAUUGAGAAACCUCAGCAGCUCUUGCGUUUCUUCUACUACUAGCUAAACUUGGUCUGUUUUGGCCUCGCUGUUCUAUGAUUAAGAGCUGCCGAAGGCAUUGUUUCGUCCCACGGCUGAACAAUGUUUGUUGUGAUGCUGGUUGCAGUAGUUGCUGCAUUGUCGCGUGACUGAAAAUUCUGUGAUUUUUGCAAUGAGUUGAUGGUCCUGCAUCCCUUUUAGAAUAGGCAUUCUGAAAAAUGUACCGGGUUCUUCCAGUGAGCAGUAAUGGGAUUUCUAACGCAUGAAAAAAGAUAUUCAGA
rnacentral:lncRNA from 1 species